rnacentral:rRNA from 1 species
GACGAACGCUGGCGGCGUGCCUAAUACAUGCAAGUCGAGCGAAUUUUUGGGAGCUUGCUCCCAAAGGUUAGCGGCGGACGGGUGAGUAACACGUGGGCAACCUGCCUAUAAGACUGGGGUAACUUCGGGAAACCGGAGCUAAUACCGGAUAAUUCAUAUCUACUCAUGUAGGUAUGCUGAAAGACGGUUUACGCUGUCACUUAUAGAUGGGCCCGCGGCGCAUUAGCUAGUUGGUGAGGUAACGGCUCACCAAGGCAACGAUGCGUAGCCGACCUGAGAGGGUGAUCGGCCACACUGGGACUGAGACACGGCCCAGACUCCUACGGGAGGCAGCAGUAGGGAAUCUUCCGCAAUGGACGAAAGUCUGACGGAGCAACGCCGCGUGAGUGAUGAAGGUUUUCGGAUCGUAAAACUCUGUUGUUAGGGAAGAAUAAGUACUAGAGUAACUGCUAGUACCUUGACGGUACCUAACCAGAAAGCCACGGCUAACUACGUGCCAGCCGCCGCGGUAACAC